rnacentral:rRNA from 1 species
GGCGAACGGGUGAGUAACACGUGGGCAAUCUGCCCUUCACUCUGGGACAAGCCUUGGAAACGAGGUCUAAUACCGGAUAACACUCCCAUUCUCCUGGAUGGGGGUUAAAAGCUCCGGCGGUGAAGGAUGAGCCCGCGGCCUAUCAGCUUGUUGGUGAGGUAAUGGCUCACCAAGGCGACGACGGGUAGCCGGCCUGAGAGGGCGACCGGCCACACUGGGACUGAGACACGGCCCAGACUCCUACGGGAGGCAGCAGUGGGGAAUAUUGCACAAUGGGCGAAAGCCUGAUGCAGCGACGCCGCGUGAGGGAUGACGGCCUUCGGGUUGUAAACCUCUUUCAGCAGGGAAGAAGCGAAAGUGACGGUACCUGCAGAAGAAGCGCCGGCUAACUACGUGCCAGCAGCCGCGGUAAUACGUAGGGCGCAAGCGUUGUCCGGAAUUAUUGGGCGUAAAGAGCUCGUAGGCGGCUUGUCACGUCGAUUGUGAAAGCUCGGGGCUUAACCCCGAGUCUGCAGUCGAUACGGGCUAGCUAGAGUGUGGUAGGGGAGAUCGGAAUUCCUGGUGUAGCGGUGAAAUGCGCAGAUAUCAGGAGGAACACCGGUGGCGA